UCGGCUCCGGUUCACGCCCCCGCACCCCGCGGCAGGCGACCCGGCGCC
rfam:Streptomyces longwoodensis strain DSM 41677 genomic scaffold PRJNA299227_s008, whole genome shotgun sequence.